AGCGAACGCUGGCGGCAGGCUUAACACAUGCAAGUCGAGCGGGCACUUCGGUGUCAGCGGCAGACGGGUGAGUAACACGUGGGAACGUACCCUUCGGUUCGGAAUAACGCUGGGAAACUAGCGCUAUUACCGGAUACGCCCUUUUGGGGAAAGGUUUACUGCCGAAGGAUCGGCCCGCGUCUGAUUAGCUAGUUGGUGGGGUAAUGGCCUACCAAGGCGACGAUCAGUAGCUGGUCUGAGAGGAUGCUCAGCCACACUGGGACUGAGACACGGCCCAGACUCCUACGGGAGGCAGCAGUGGGGAAUAUUGGAAAAUGGGCGCAAGGCUGAUCCAGCCAGGCCGGGUGAGUGAUGAAGGCCGUAGGGUUGUAAAGCGCUUUUGUCCGGGACGAUAAUGACGGUACCGGAAGAAUAAGCCCCGGCUAACUUCGUG
rnacentral:rRNA from 1 species